UGAACGCUGGGCGCGCAGGCUUAACACAUGCAGUCGAGCGGGCGAGGUUGCUUCGGUAACUGAGCUAGCGGCGGACGGGUGAGUAAUGCUUAGGAAUCUGCCUAUUAGUGGGGGACAACAUUCCGAAAGGGAUGCUAAUACCGCAUACGUCCUACGGGAGAAAGCAGGGGAUCUUUUUGACCUUGCCCUAAUAAAUGAACCUAAAUCGGAUUAACUAGUUGGGGGGGUAAAGGCCUACCAAGGGGACCAUUUGUAGCGGGUCUGAAAGGAUGAUCCGCCACACUGGGACUGAAACACGGCCCAAACUCCUACGGGAGGCAGCAGUGGGGAAUAUUGGACAAUGGGGGGAACCCUGAUCCAGCCAUGCCGCGUGUGUGAAGAAGGCCUUUUGGUUGUAAAGCACUUUAAGUGGGGAGGAGGCUUAUCUGGUUAAUACCUGGGCAAACUGGACGUUACCUCCAAAAUAAGCACCGGCUAACUCUGUGCCAGCAGCCGCGGUAAUACAGAGGGGUGCCGGCCGUUAAUCGGAUUUACUGGGCGUAAACCGCGCGUAGGGUGGUUAAAUAAAUUCAAAUGUAAAAUCCCCGAGCUUAACUUGGGGAAUUGCCUUUCCAUUACUGGGUUGGCUUAAAUAUGGGGG
rnacentral:rRNA from 1 species